rnacentral:misc_RNA from 1 species
AAAUGCGAUAAGUAAUGUGAAUUGCAGAAUUCAGUGAAUCAUCGAAUCUUUGAACGCACAUUGCGCCCGCCAGUAUUCUGGCGGGCAUGCCUGUUCGAGCGUCAUUUCAACCAUCAAGCCCCCGGCUUGUGUUGGGGACCUGCGGCUGCCCGCAGGCCCUGAAAAACAGUGGCGGGCUCGCUGUCACACCGAGCGUAGUAGCAUACAUUCUCGCUCAGGGCGUGCUGCGGGUUCCGGCCGUUAAACGACCUUCAUAACCCAAGGUUGACCUCGGAUCAGGUAGGAAGACCCGCUGAACUUAAGCAG